rnacentral:rRNA from 1 species
GACGAACGCUGGCGGCGUGCUUAACACAUGCAAGUCGAACGAUGAUCUCCCGCUUGCGUGGGUGUUUAGUGGCGAACGGGUGAGUAAUACGUGAGUAACCUGCCCUUUACUCUUUGAUAAGCCUUGGAAACCGGGUCUAAUACUGGAUACUACUUCCUGCCGCAUGGUGGGGGGUGGAAAUGGUUUUACUGGUUUUGGAUGGGCUCACGGCCUAUCAGCUUGUUGGUGGAGUAAUGGCUCACCAAGGCGACGACGGGUAGCCGGCCUGAGAGGGUGACCGGCCACACUGGGACUGAGACACGGCCCAGACUCCUAAGGGAGGAAGAAGUGGGGAAUAUUGCACAAGGGGCGGAAGCCUGAUGCAGCGACGCCGCGGGAGGGAUGACGGGCUUCGGGGUGUAAAACUCUUUCAGCAGGGAAGAAGCCACAAGUGACGGUACCUGAAGAAGAAGCGCCGGCUAACUACGUG